rnacentral:rRNA from 1 species
CCUACGGGAGGCAGCAGUGGGGAAUAUUGGACAAUGGGGGGAACCCUGAUCCAGCCAUGCCGCGUGUGUGAAGAAGGCCCUCGGGUUGUAAAGCACUUUCAGUGAGGAAGAACGCCUGGUGGUUAAUACCCAUCAGGAAAGACAUCACUCACAGAAGAAGCACCGGCUAACUCCGUGCCAGCAGCCGCGGUAAUACGGAGGGUGCGAGCGUUAAUCGGAAUUACUGGGCGUAAAGCGCGCGUAGGUGGCUUGAUAAGCCGGUUGUGAAAGCCUCGGGCUCAACCUGGGAACGGCAUCCGGAACUGUCAAGCUAGAGUGCAGGAGAGGAAGGUAGAAUUCCCGGUGUAGCGGUGAAAUGCGUAGAGAUCGGGAGGAAUACCAGUGGCGAAGGCGGCCUUCUGGACUGACACUGACACUGAGGUGCGAAAGCGUGGGUAGCAAACAGGAUUAGAUACCCGAGUAGUC